AAAACUGGCUUAUGACUGCUUCCAGCUGGGGCUCCUGGUGCACUGCCUCAUGGUGAUGGGUCAGCCAGUACCUGGGAGGGGUUUAAGGAUGGGAGGAGUUUGCGGGUCUGCCUUCAUCCUUCUAAGAUGGAGAGCACAGCAUGGUUCUGGGAGGAUAUGAAGUCAGCAGACGGGCAGCAAGAUCUGAGGACGGCAGCACCCAGCUGUGCAUCGUGAGCACCAUCUUGAGAAUGUGGUCCCCUCGGCGUAGGCUGCCAGCCGAGUCUGAAGGAGGAAAGACAGGCUCUCAGCCUGAACAACAGACCAUGGCCUCGAGAACUGAGUGGGCAGGCUGGUGUACAUGUUCGUUCCGCCUGUAAUGCCCUGCAAGAACUCAGGAGCCGUCUCAGGCCAAUGUAUCAGGUUCCCUGGAGCUGGGGUUACUGGUGGAUGUGUACCUUCU
rnacentral:lncRNA from 1 species